UACGUAGGGGGCAAGCGUUAUCCGGAUUUACUGGGUGUAAAGGGAGCGCAGACGGAACUGCAAGUCUGAUGUGAAAGCCCGGGGCUCAACCGCGGGACUGCAUCGGAUACUGUAGAUCUGGAGUGCCGGAGGGGCAAGCGGAAUUCCUGGUGUAGUGGUGAAAUGCGUAGAGAUCAGGAGGAAUACCGAAGGCGAAGGCAGUCUUCCAAGCCGUUAUUGACGCUCAACUGCGAAGGUGUGGGUAUCAAACAGGAUUAGAUACCCCCGUA
rnacentral:rRNA from 1 species